rnacentral:rRNA from 1 species
UACGGGAGGCAGCAGUGGGGAAUAUUGCACAAUGGGCGCAAGCCUGAUGCAGCCAUGCCGCGUGUAUGAAAAAGGCCUUCGGGUUGUAAAGUACUUUCAGUCGUGAGGAAGGUGUUAAGGUUAAUAACCUUAGCAAUUGACGUUAGCGACAGAAGAAGCACCGGCUAACUCCGUGCCAGCAGCCGCGGUAAUACGGAGGGUGCGAGCGUUAAUCGGAAUUACUGGGCGUAAAGGGCACGCAGGCGGUUAAUUAAGUUGGAUGUGAAAUCCCCGGGCUUAACCUGGGAAUGGCAUUCAAGACUGGUUAGCUAGAGUCUUGUAGAGGGGGUAGAAUUCCAUGUGUAGCGGUGAAAUGCGUAGAGAUGUGGAGGAAUACCGGUGGCGAAGGCGGCCCCCUGGACAAAGACUGACGCUCAUGUGCGAAAGCGUGGGGAGCAAACAGGGAUUUAGAUACC